rnacentral:rRNA from 1 species
UGCGUAGGUGGUUGGGUAAGUCUGAUGUGAAAUCUCCGAGCUUAACUCGGAAAUGGCAUUGGAUACUAUUCGGCUAGAGGGUUUUGAGGGGGGGACUGGAAUACUUGGUGUAGCAGUGAAAUGCGUAGAUAUCAAGUGGAACACCAGUGGCGAAGGCGAGUCCCUGGAAAACUCCUGACACUGAGGCACGAAAGCUAGGGAGCAAACA